GACGAACGCUGGCGGCGUGCCUAAUACAUGCAAGUAGAACGCUGAAGGAGGAGCUUGCUUCUCUGGAUGAGUUGCGAACGGGUGAGUAACGCGUAGGUAACCUGCCUGGUAGCGGGGGAUAACUAUUGGAAACGAUAGCUAAUACCGCAUAAGAGUAGAUGUUGCAUGACAUUUGCUUAAAAGGUGCAAUUGCAUCACUACCAGAUGGACCUGCGUUGUAUUAGCUAGUUGGUGAGGUAACGGCUCACCAAGGCAACGAUACAUAGCCGACCUGAGAGGGUGAUCGGCCACACUGGGACUGAGACACGGCCCAGACUCCUACGGGAGGCAGCAGUAGGGAAUCUUCGGCAAUGGACGGAAGUCUGACCGAGCAACGCCGCGUGAGUGAAGCAGGUUUUCGGAUCGUAAAGCUCUGUUGUAAGAGAAAGA
rnacentral:rRNA from 1 species